CACUGUUAUCAAGCUACAAACACCCAGCUCUGCCACUACCACCCUGCCAGAUCGUAGCCUCUGCUUCAUUCCAUCUGCUCUGUCUCCUGCUCGUCUCCAGUCCCUUGUCUCGUCUCAUCAGCCCUGCUUCCCUUCCCUGGAUCCCUGCUCUUCCCAGCUUCCAGCCCAAUCCUCAGCCCCAGUUCCCAGUUACUAGCCCAAGCUUACCCAGGCCUGCCCAGUCUUCAUAAUAAAUACCUUGUUUCUAUCAUA